CGCAGCCGCGGUAAUUCCAGCUCCAAUAGCGUAUAUUAAAGUUGUUGCAGUUAAAAAGCUCGUAGUUGAAUUUCGAGAUCAAAUUGUUGGUCGUGCCUCGGUACGUACUGGCAUUAUUGAUUUCUCCCUUCUGAAGAACCACGAUGUCAUUAAUUUGGUGUCGUGGGGAGUCAGGACUGUUACUUUGAAAAAAUUAGAGUGUUUAAAGCAAGCUAACGCUUGAAUACAUUAGCAUGGAAUAAUGAAAUAGGACGUUCGAUCCUAUUUUGUUGGUUUCUAGGAUUGACGUAAUGAUUAAUAGGGAUAGUUGGGGGCAUUAGUAUUCAAUUGUCAGAGGUGAAAUUCUUGGAUUUAUUGAAGACUAACUACUGCGAAAGCAUUUGCCAAGGAUGUUUUCAUUAAUCAAGAACGAAAGUUAGGGGAUCGAAGACGAUCAGAUACCGUCGUAGUCUUAACCAUAA
rnacentral:rRNA from 1 species